GUGAGCGCUGGCGGUAGGCCUAACACAUGCAAGUCGAACGGCAGCACAGUAAGAGCUUGCUCUUACGGGUGGCGAGUGGCGGACGGGUGAGGAAUACAUCGGAAUCUACUUUUUCGUGGGGGAUAACGUAGGGAAACUUACGCUAAUACCGCAUACGACCUACGGGUGAAAGCAGGGGAUCUUCGGACCUUGCGCGGUUGAAUGAGCCGAUGUCGGAUUAGCUAGUUGGCGGGGUAAAGGCCCACCAAGGCGACGAUCCGUAGCUGGUCUGAGAGGAUGAUCAGCCACACUGGAACUGAGACACGGUCCAGACUCCUACGGGAGGCAGCAGUGGGGAAUAUUGGACAAUGGGCGCAAGCCUGAUCCAGCCAUACCGCGUGGGUGAAGAAGGCCUUCGGGUUGUAAAGCCCUUUUGUUGGGAAAGAAAAGCAGCAGGUUAAUACCCCGCUGUUCUGACGGUACCCAAAGAAUAAGCACCGGCUAACUUCGUG
rnacentral:rRNA from 1 species